GGGGGACAGCAGGCCUGGUCACCAGCUUUUGUACCUGUCUCUGCAAGCAUUGCAUUGCUGGAAGAGAAUCUCAUGCCAGAGCUUGGACCAUGCCUUGCUCAGGGGUUAGGGGUUGUCUCUUGGUGACCUAAAUGAAAAAAUAGCUCCAGAUCAUAGUUCCCACAGAGCCCAAGGCUGGAAACCUCCAGAAUCCUCUGGCCCCCAAUCCUCCCCAGGGACCCCUGUGGCCUAUCUCACAAGAACAUUCUUCCAUCUGUAGAUUUCUUGGCUGCUCCACAAGGGAGUCCCACUUCAGGUGUGGUGCUGGGCAUGGUCACUCCUGCUGGAUGUUUAGAAGGUGGAAACCAAGGACCUAGGGAAAUACCAGGUACAGCCUUUCCACCCUCAUCCAGAGAAGGACAAAGAGGCCAGGCGGUGUCAGGAGCCCAGGUCUCCAGCUGGAGGGAACGUCAACCCUGCAGUGGGAGCAGGGGCCCAUUGCACAUCCUAGGCAGAGAUGAUAACGUAGGAACCACAGAAGCUCUGCUGACAGUUUGGUGAUUGCCAUUGGGGCAGUGAGCCUUUUGUCCGUUCUGAGGUUGGGCUGGUUUCUCCUCUUGGCCCUGCCCUACAGACCAUAAAGGAAAUCAGCAAGAAGUCCCCAGCAAACAUCCACAGAUGGCCCUGGACAUCAGCCACAUUCUGAGAAACAUGUCAUGUUCUGGGAGGGCUAAGGCAUCAAGUAAGUCUUAUGGGGCUGGAGGAUCCCAGGGCAGGUGGGGCAAUCCAGAGCCAUGGGGGCUUCCCAUGGGAAUUGGGAGGUCCCAAGGCAGACACAGGGGUUCCACAGGAGGAGUCCCAGAGCCACCAAGCGCUCUCCUGUCCCAGGGAGCAGUCAACACCAUGGACUGAACACUUACUGGGCUUCAAGCUCUGGGCCAGGCUGGGGCAUGUGGGGCCAUGAGGGAGCCCAGAGUGGGAGACAGAGAGACAAGUGUGCUCAGAGGGCACCCAUUUCUGGGUGUAAUGUGGUCCUGAGAUUUUGGCUGAGAAGGGUUUCCAGGGUUUCAUAUGUGUUAUGGAGCUGCUUCCUCUCCCCAGCCUCACCUUGCAGGAAUCCCAGUGAAUAUAUUGCCACCCUAUUUGAGCUCAGUGCCCUCAUAGUGUAAUGGCACCAGCAGAUCUGCCUGUGCAUGGACUUCCUGUACUACCCAUUCCUGAGGGGUGAUGCUUCUGCAGGGCCUGUGACCUGGUGCACAACUUUAGACACCAUCAUCCUGGAGCAGCACUGCACCCUCACUAGCCAGGGUGUUCAUGACUUCCUCAAGGCCAAGGCCACGUUCAAGACUUGGGACUUCAGUGAUGCACUUGUGCUGGGCAAGGUGGCUUCUCCGGUAUCUUAAUUUGGGAGGUAGAAUGCAGCUUGAAAUCAAAUGUCUGAUCAAAGAACUUGAACUUGAUCUGGAGGGCUCUGGGGAGCCAUGGAAGGUGCUGGAUAAAGGAGGGACAGUCAGAUAUGUCUUAGAGAUGACUGUAGAAGGCUGCCUGGAAGGAAUGAACAAGAGCCAGGAGACGCAGGAGGGAGCUUGUGGGGCAGGUCUGGAGAUGGCAAGGGAGGGAUCCUGCUUGGAUGAAAAGUCUUCAGGGACUGUUUCAGGUUACACUCAGGUGCCCUCAGAGCUAAUGUGUUCAGAGGUCUUGUCUCCAGGAUGAAAAUGGGAAGGAGUUGUCAGAUGAGGACAUAUAAAUGGAGGCUGGCAUCUUCAUGAGUACCAGCGGUGGUCCCGGUGUGGGUCUCUCCAUCCAGGGACAUGGUGGAUGGACACUACAUCAUUCCAUUCUGCCCUUCCUUUCCCUCCUCCCAUUCUCCCGAGGGCCUCAGUGCAUGGGCGGUGUCCAACCUCUGGUGCUGAAGCAGCCGAGAGACCCAAGCCUGCGUGGCUGCCUCUUAGGAUAUGACAGCACAGCCACUGGGCUCUACUGAAUCCUGUGCAACCUCAGAAGACACCCAGGAGUGAUGCCAUCACGUGGUGCAAGAGUUCUGAGGGACCGCAAUCCUGAAGACAUUGAAUGGCUGUGUUCCUGCUCACUGCUGGAGGCGCUGUCAGGGGCCCUGUCCUCAACCCCGGGUCUGACCCUUGCAGAUCAGGCAGGACAUUCUGGAGGAAUCAUGCCCUUGGAAGGAUCCCUGAGGAGUGACUGUUGUUAGAUUAAAAAACAGUGGCAAAGAGCAAUACAGAGAGUUGCCAAAAUUCACACCGCUGGUCCAGGUUUGAAGCAAGCAAUCUGUACCUGCAGUCCUUGUCUGUAACCAUGGCACCCUGGCUUCUCACACAUCUCAUCGUGGAGUUCCACCAUGUGUCAGGCAUGGCACUGAGCACCUUCUUUUAAGAAUAUAAUUUGUAAUUAUGUAGAUUAUUAAUUCUACUUCAAAAUGCCACACAGCCUUCAUGUGAUAAAAUGAAACAAUUGGUGAGUCUAAGCAUUGAGAAAAAAUGUUCUUUUUUCCACUCCUGACUCCAUUCCAACAGUUGGGACAGUGUUUUCUCUGUGCCUGUAGAAACCUCAGCUCCUGUGCUGAGGAGCCUGUUCCCUUUGGGGAAUGUGGCAGUGAGGUGCUGGCAGGGACCUCGAAGCGGCUGAAGGGUCAUUAAGAAAAAGCUGUUUACGUAGGUGUGGGCAGGGCCAAGGGGAACCAGGGGGGAUGGCGCAGGGCCCUGGGGUUAGCGUCAUCUGGGAGCUGUCACCACCCUCCAGGCUGGUGGGGCCAUGGAGAAGCUGUUUCAGUAACUCAGAGAAUCUGCAGCUGAAAGAGGAGGCCAGAGGAGACAUCACUCACUGUGCCCUUUGACUGCAUCUGGAUGCCCUCACUGACCACACUACCAUCCACUUAUUAGACUGGAGAGGCUGCAGGGAG
rnacentral:lncRNA from 1 species